UUUAUUUUAUGCCAAAAUUUCCAAUUACCACUCUCUCCGACGCAGCUUCACUCGACGCCGCCGCGCCCUUCACUCUCCGAAGCUUCCGCCGCCGCGCCCAUACUUUCUCCUUUAAGCUCCAUGGACGUGAGAAUUGGAGCUUGAAGUUCAACACCCUCUACAUCAAUUUUGCGAAAUUAAGGUGACAAAUUGUUCUAACCCACUCGUGUUACCUAUUAUUCUUGAAUUUGAUACAACUCUUUGAUUUAUUGCUUUGGUUUUUGAUUGGGCCUCUAAUAGUAGGUAACUAAGUGUGAAUUAAUCAAAAGAAUGAAUUUUGACAAUGGCUGGGGAAGAAGUGCAAGAUUUCUUGUUUAUUUGAUACUGUUGGAAUAAGAUUUGGCCACAUGUUAUUGGGGGAUUUUGUUUUUAUCAUUGAAUUGUUAGUUUCUUUAUUUUAUCAUACUGUUUGGAAAGAAAAAGAUUAUGGUUGGAAAGAAAGACUAAUUAGAAACGAUAGAGAACGAAGGUCUUGUUCUGUUUCUGCUUAUGUUGUGUGUAUUUAUAAUCAUGAUUCUUAAUUGAUGAAGAAAUGUGAAUUAGUUGUUUUAUGAAUUCAUUUGGGGCGGUUCUUGGUAUAUUCUUUGGUUAAUAGUUGGGUUUUUUAGCAGAUUAUUUUCUUGAAAUUUUAUACUCCCAUGAUUAUUUUCUUGCUAUCCCAUGUUGUUACUGCUACAGCCUCUUGGAACCUAAAAACUUGCAUUUUAAAUUAGUGAAAUAAAAUACUAGCAAAGUAGACAAAAAUCAUACAUAAAAAUAGUCCUAAUACGUGUCUUGUUUGGUUGGGGCAACAUAGUUGCUCAAUUCCUCAAUAAGAGCAUUCAAACUAUUAUAAGAAGAUCCACCUUCUUCAACAGCCUUUGUCGCCAUUCCCUUAUAAUUCUGAGCUCUUCUUCUCAUCUCCGCCGCUCCUACACCCACCAUAACCUCCUCCACUGCCCUCGCCACCGCGUCCUGUUCCACUCCCUCGCUCUCCCUCAUCAUCCACUUUUUUAUUCCCAACAGAAACCCCAGUCCCCAAAACCUCUGUCACCAGCUUCUCAUUGAAAAACUGAUCUGCUAACACUGGCCACGUCACCAUCGGCACGCCCGCGCAAACCCCCUCCAGAAUUGAGUUCCACCCACAUUGCGUCACUAAAGCCCCCACCGCCGCAUGAUCGAGAAUCAUCACUUGAGGUGCCCACUCCCUUAUGAUCAGCCCUCUGUUCCCCACUCUCUCCUCGAAUCCUAGAGGCACCCAAUCCUCGUCGUCUUCUUGAGCUAAUAACUCUAAGGACACCAAAAGGUAAGACAAAUAGAUUGGAUAAGAGCUUGGAAUUGUGCAUCGAAUCCUUGAGUUCUACAUUUUUCUUCAUAUUAUCUUUUCACAUCUUGUUUACUUGUUCUCAUUUGUUUACUUACUUAUUAUAUGCUUUUAUUAGUUGUUAGAACAAACCAAAUUGUUUCUGACUGUUUAGAUAGUAGUUAAUUUUUGUUCGUGGUAGUUAAGUUGGUACAAAUUUGUGUCUGUGGGAUAUGAUACUCUUGUUUGCUAAUUGCUACACUAGCCUUGUACACUUACGAGUAUUACUUGUGUUAAAAUAAGUUGAGUCAGCUAGCAUCAAUUAUUUGGUUUAAGUCUAUAUGUUUGCAAUGAUAUCAGUCAUCUAUUAUAAUUUGCUAGUGGUAACCUGUGCGAUGCACAUAUAUUAUGUGUUUAUAUUUUUAUAAUUUGUGAAUUAUAUGUCCAACAUUGUAUAUAUAAUAUGUUAUAUGUCCGAAAAAUUCCAAAAGGUUGAGAUAAUGAGAAUCAAUCUGUCAUUAGGAACUAGCUUUUAGAACAUUACGAAAAGGGGAACGAGCGUGUUUAAUGAAAUACGCUUGACGGUGUCGCAUCACCAAAACACAUAAGGCUCUUGCAUAAACGUGUGUCUACCUCAAAUACAUAAAACCCCAUUUCCCUACCCCCUGCGCGCAAACAACUUCAUUUCACCACUCCAGCUCGUGAAAAUCAACAAGAAUCCGACUUCCAGCGGCUCAAGACUAUUUUUUUAGACGGAGGAAGUAUAUGUUUGUGUUUAGUUAUAUAUGUCUUUGUUUAUCUAGUAAAUGGAUAAAUUGUUGUUGUAGUUUAUUUGGAUGUCGUACGUGGAUUGCAAGUUGCCAAACUUGUGCCACGGCAUGAACAGUACUUGGAGUUGAUCAGUUACAUAUAUGGUGUGUUGGCUACUGUCGAGGCUCAUGUGCCUGAGUGUGUUGUGCGGCAAUUUGGAGGGACUCAUUUCAUUCCACAAAUGUGUGAUUGAGGUUUCGACGUGAAUCAGUUGUGGGGAUGAACACUGGUGCAUCAUCAUCAACGAUAGUUGUAACUUUUCAAAUGAACAUGUAAAAUAUUGGCAAGGCCAGAUCCAAAAAUAUUUCAAUUGAGAGCAGAGCGUUGAGCGUCAUUGAAAUCCUCUAACCAGAGUGCAACAUCCAAGGCAAAGGUGACAAUGACUACUCACGGGAACGGAACUGGUGGAACCGUUGGAGGCGAAUGAAAAAGCAUCCAGCCGCCGAAACUUUGAAAACUGACUCCGCCGGGCGGAACUACUUGCAGAGGCGGGCGCGC